rnacentral:tRNA from 1 species
GGAGAGAUGCGAGAGUGGCCGAAUCGGGCUCCCUGCUAAGGAGUUAACCUGCGAAACGGGUUCGGGGGUUCGAAUCCCCCUCUCUCCG